rnacentral:misc_RNA from 1 species
CGAAGACAGCCCGUGGGCGCUCGUGUGAGGGCCGCGGCUACAGCGCUGUUACGUCUGGUCAUCUGCUGCCACCUCGCUGCCACGACAGCAGCAGCCAGCACAUCACACUGCCAGUGCGACAUCGUACUCGGCUUACCGAAUCCGCCCGUCGGCUACGAGAUACCAGAGCUUGACGAGAAGCUGAGAGAGGAACUGCUGACGCCCGUGUGUCGCGAACGCAAAGUGAUCGAGAAGGCGCUAGUGAGAAGUAUCAACGACCUGGAUAAUCGAGGUCACUGUAGAUGUCUCAUCACCGGCCUUGGGAAGCGUCCGAAAGAGCUGCCGCUGGUGUUUAGCCACGAUUCAUCAGGAAAUCGCGUAGUCUUCGGGAAAUUCUACGAAAUUCGGGAUUGCGUGCCUCACCGAGAGUCCACCGUUGCCGUACAGUGAAUGUGCACAUCACCACCAUGCCUAAAGACGAUAUAGACACUAGAUACAACAUCGCGCUCGCCAACCCACACACACAUACACGAGCGAGUGCAUGCACAGGCACACAGUCACGAGCAAAGAUACACGAGCACAUGUGAUUGUGGCAGACCUGAGACGGUGAAGGUGACAAGCGCAAUUCAUCGUGAGAAAGCAAUUAACUAUAACGAGUGGAUAGAUCAAGGAACCUUAAAAAAGACGCCAUAGCAGAAUGACUCUGCAGUUCCGCAACGUCGUCGGCGUCGUGACGCUACUCUAUUGGCUGACGCAGACGCUAGUGUCGACGCAGGCAAGCUGCGUCAAGCGGCUUGACCUUGACACGUCGCACGUCAUGCGCUAUGACGGUUACUCUCCGGUGACGUUGACGCGUCACAAGUGCGUGCACUCCGUGGAGAAGUACCUCGUGCCGCAGGUAUACCUGUCCGAAGCCGAGCUGGUCUACUCAAGGCAGAAGAUCGUAGAGUAUCAGGCGCGAGAUUGCUGCAAAUGUCGGGCACAGAUCGUGCAGCGUAAGGUACUUCUGAGGAGUAACAUGCCAGAGUACCACGACAACUUUCUGGAGGUGUACCCGGAUGUGGCGCGAUGCCGUGCAGAAUGCACACAGUGCAGCUAGGCACAGAGGAUCAACGAUGGGACUACUGCUAGCUUACACAUGCUGAUAAAAUAACCCAACGGAGGUGUUUAUUGAAUCGCAUUUAAAUUAUUUGUCUUUCACCGUUUCAACUAUAACUUGUUCAAAACAGAACAAACGCGUAUUUUCAUUUAUGUUCAUGGGCAACCAAUAUGUUUUCUCGCACUAUAAUGUGUAUCCAUUCAAACGCUUACCUUUGCUGCUACUAGUAGUUGAAGUUUGAUUGGUAGUGAAAAAGAUUCUCCUGUGCGUAUUCAGGUAAAUUGUGAUUAUAACUGUUGAGAAACUGAUCCACGUAUUGCCAUCGGUUUUCGGUUCCCAUAAAUUCUAUCGGCCAUAUAUCUUCAACUUAUAUAUCCUAUAUAUAUCCCCGCUUGGGUUAACUCGGCGUUUUUAUUUCUUGUAGAGCAGGGCGUGGCCUGUAAUUUUUUUAGCAUUAUAUAAUAUAAUGCAUAAUUUGUCUACAAAACGCAAAUAAUGGUCAAUUUUAAGCGAGUAUUUUUCAUGUUUUGUCCAACCGUUUUCAUAUUUUUUCGACUAUUCUGAUACUGACAAGUACACCUUAUGUAACACCAAGUGAGGUUGGCAUGUCAUAGAACACUCGCGUGUCAUUCGUUUCACCAAUUAUAUGUGCACCGAUCUGAAUUCCAAGAUUUCUUUACGUUUAAUUGUUAACAAAUCUAGCGCUUGAUUUUCGAUCUCGCGAGAUGCCAUCGACUGGUAACUUGUCUCUACACUAUGUUACCUUUGUCUGCAUAUCGAGAUAGAUACCAGUCUAUAAAUAUAUGCCUUACGUAUCUACAUGCA